CACGUAGGGCGCAAGCGUUGUCCGGAAUUAUUGGGCGUAAAGAGCUCGUAGGCGGCUUGUCGCGUCGUCCGUGAAAACCCGCGGCUUAACUGCGGGCUUGCAGUUGAUACGGGCAGGCUAGAGUUCGGUAGGGGAGACUGGAAUUCCUGGUGUAGCGGUGAAAUGCGCAGAUAUCAGGAGGAACACCGGUGGCGAAGGCGGGUCUCUGGGCCGAUACUGACGCUGAGGAGCGAAAGCGUGGGGAGCGAACAGG
rnacentral:rRNA from 1 species